UACGUAGGGGGCAAGCGUUGUCCGGAUUUAUUGGGCGUAAAGAGCGUGUAGGCGGUCAUGCAGGUCCGCUGUGAAAACUCGAGGCUCAACCUCGAGACGUCGGUGGAAACCGUUUGGCUAGAGUCCGGAAGAGGAGAGUGGAAUUCCCGGUGUAGCGGUGAAAUGCGCAGAUAUCGGGAAGAACACCCGUGGCGAAGGCGGCUCUCUGGGACGGUACUGACGCUGAGACGCGAAAGCGUGGGGAGCGAACAGG
rnacentral:rRNA from 1 species